GAUGAAGAACGUAGCGAAAUGCGAUAAGUAGUGUGAAUUGCAGAAUUCAGUGAAUCAUCGAAUCUUUGAACGCACAUUGCGCCCGGUAGUAUUCUGCCGGGCAUGCCUGUUCGAGCGUCAUUUCAACCAUCAAGCCCCAGCGCUUGUGUUGGGGGCCUGCGGCUGCCGCAGCCCCCUAAAAGCAGUGGCGGGCUCGCUAUCACACCGAGUGCAGUAGUUCAUCUUCUCUCCGGUCUUGUGAGGCGGGUUCCGGCCGUGAAACACCCCACUACAUUCGAGGUUGACCUCGGAUCAGGUAGGAAUACCCGCUGAACUUAAGCAUAUCAAUAAGCGGAGGA
rnacentral:misc_RNA from 1 species